rnacentral:rRNA from 1 species
GACAGAGGUGCCGAGCGUUAGGCGGAAUCACUGGGCUUAAAGCGUGUGUAGGCGGAUCUGUAAGUACCUUGUGAAAUCCCACGGCUCAACCGUGGAACUGCUUGGUAUACUGCGGGUCUUGAGCCACCUAGGGGCAAGUGGAACAAACGGUGGAGCGGUGAAAUGCGUAGAUAUCGUUUGGAACGCCAAUGGUGAAAACAACUUGCUGGGGGUGUGCUGACGCUGAGGCACGAAGGCCAGGGGAGCAAACGGG